rnacentral:rRNA from 1 species
UACAGAGGGUGCAAGCGUUAAUCGGAAUUACUGGGCGUAAAGCGUGCGCAGGCGGUUCUAUAAGACAGAUGUGAAAUCCCCGGGCUCAACCUGGGAACUGCAUUUGUGACUGUAGAGCUGGAGUGCGGCAGAGGGGGAUGGGAUUCCGCGUGUAGCAGUGAAAUGCGUAGAUAUGCGGAGGAACACCGAUGGCGAAGGCAAUCCCCUGGGCCUGCACUGACGCUCAUGCACGAAAGCGUGGGGAGCAAACAGG